UACGUAGGGGGCGAGCGUUGUCCGGAAUCAUUGGGCGUAAAGAGCGUGUAGGCGGCCAGAUAAGUCCGCUGUGAAAUCUCGAGGCUCAACUUCGAGCUGUCGGUGGAAACUAUCUGGCUAGAGUCCGGAAGAGGAGAAUGGAAUUCCUGGUGUAGCGGUGAAAUGCGCAGAUAUCAGGAAGAACACCCGUGGCGAAGGCGGUUCUCUGGGACGGUACUGACGCUGAGACGCGAAAGCGUGGGGAGCGAACAGG
rnacentral:rRNA from 1 species